AUUGAACGCUGGCGGCAGGCCUAACACAUGCAAGUCGAGCGGUAGAGAGGUGCUUGCAUCUCUUGAGAGCGGCGGACGGGUGAGUAAUGCCUAGGAAUCUGCCUAGUGGUGGGGGAUAACGUUCGGAAACGGACGCUAAUACCGCAUACGUCCUACGGGAGAAAGCGGGGGAUCUUCGGACCUCGCGCCAUUAGAUGAGCCUAGGUCGGAUUAGCUAGUUGGUGAGGUAAUGGCUCACCAAGGCGACGAUCCGUAACUGGUCUGAGAGGAUGAUCAGUCACACUGGGACUGAGACACGGCCCAGACUCCUACGGGAGGCAGCAGUGGGGAAUAUUGGAC
rnacentral:rRNA from 1 species